GGAGCCGGCGGGUGGCAGGCGCCGUGCGGUGCGGUGCGGUGCGGUGCGCCCGAGGGGCGGCGGGCGCGGGGAGGCCUCCCCCUGCCAGGCCAUCGCCUGACGGUGCGGGACGGCGUGAGGAGGAGAGAGGAGAGCCGAACGGUAUCGCAGGGCUGCAGCGAGGGAGGUGCGGCCAGCACAGCCAGAGAGGGGACUCGCACACUGUGCUGUGGUACCACAAAGUGCAAAUGAAGACUCUGAAAUUUAAGCACAGUCACAGAAUCAGAACCAUUUUUAUUGGAGAAGACCUUUAAGAUCAUCGACUCCAAACACUACCCAAGUCUGGUGUUAAACUGUGUCCUUCAGCACCACAGCUCUGCAUCUUUUAAACACCUCCAGGGAUGGGGCAUCAACCACCUCCCUCAGGAACCUGUUCCAGUGUUGGAGAACCCUUUCAGGCCCCCUUCAAGUGCUGGAAAGCUGCAGGUGAGUGUUUCCAGAGCCUUCUCUUCUCCAGGUUGAACAACCCCAGCUCUCUCAGCGAGGUGCUUCAGCUCUGAUCAUCUUCAUGGCCUCCUUUCUCACAGAUGGUGCUGUGUGUUUCUGUGGACAUGACAAAGCAUCAGAGGCCUUGAGGAGAGUCUUCAAGCAUCCUUUAAUUUGGCAGGUUCAGGGCUGACACAAGCAGUUACACAGCUCAGAGAGAAGUUGCCUCAGCACAUGAAACCCAGCUGGCUUGACCCUAUGACAAAUACAAGUGCAGUGUACUCUUGGUUUGGAGCAAUGGUGCAAAUUCCUCAGCCUCAGUGAAUAAGGAACCUUUUACCUGGUGAUUUUACAUGGUCAAGAUAGGGCAGAAAGGGUGACUUAAGCAGGCCUCAGACUCCAGAGCUAUGAUCUGCCCUUCUCCUGCCUUUGGUCAUUGCUUAUGCUGAGCUGUAUGAGCCUGUGUGUCCUUCCAGCACAUCAAAAUAUCUUUAGAGCUAGGGAGACUCAAGGUAUAUUCAGAAAAAGAGGAUUAAGCUUUGCUAUUACCUGAUAUUGGCAAUUUCCUCCUACAUCCACCAUCAUCCAGGGCUGUAAUGUGCUCUGGAAACUGACGUCGCGUGGCUCUAGGGUAUGAAGUGGAAACAGAUGGUCCUGUGGCACCUCCCCACCGUUAGAACUGACUUAUUGUUACCUGAAGGGAUAAGCAGCCUCAUCUUUGCAGUGGGAACAGCAGAAAACUCAGUGCAUCUACAACUGUUGUGGAGAACAGCACUGGUAGAACUGAAACAGGCUCCAAUGCUGUUGGAACAGCUUCGACACCAUCAAAACCCUACGUGACCAACAGUCUCUGCAGCCUCAUGUUCUGGGUGGUUUGGUCUCCCACACCCGUCUGGCUCCGGUGAAGUAAGUUCAGAGCAUAGAUGUAUUCCAGCUCCGUGUACUUCACCCCUUGAUCCACCACGAGGUUUAACAGCUCAUCUGCUGUGUUGUAGAGCAUCUCAUAGUACUGCCUGAAAAGCAAGCAAACAGAAGAAACACACUUUGCUCUCAGGUCUGCCUUAGCUGUGCCUUUGCAGAGAGCAUCCAGCAUGCCACCAGACUGCAAAUCACUGCAGCCGUAACUGGAAGCAGCUCCAGCAAAACUACACCUCUGGACUGCCUCAAGUCUCACCUCCCAGCGUGGCCAGGCUCCUGGCCUUGAAAGCUUUGCAUUUUUACCUCCUCCAUCUCCUUCAAGACUUCACUUGCUGCUGUCACCUGAGAACUGGCUCCUGUGGUUGAAAGUUUGUGCCAACACACUGCUGCCAGGGGCCAGCUGUGAUUGAGUGGGAGGAAAGGCUUGUGACUAGAGGAAAAGGACUCCAAAAUCACUGAUUCAGAUAACAAGGACCAUCAGGGUUUGGGUUGUGUGGGCAAAAGAAUCACAGAAUUCCAAUGUGGUGGGGGUUGGAAGGCACUUCUGGACAUCACAGAAUCAUCCAGGUUGGAAGACACCUCCAAGCUCAGCCAGUCCAACCUAGCACCCAGCCCUGGCCAAUCAUCCAGACCAUGGCACUAAGUGCCUCAUCCAGGCUUGGCUUCAACACCUCCAGCCACAGCAACUCCACCACCUUCCUGGGCAGCCCAUUCCAAUGCUAAUCACUCUCUCUGACAACAACUUCCUCCUAACAUCCAGCCUAGACUUCUCCCAGCACAACUUGAGGCUGUGUCCCCUUCUUCUCUUGCUGCUUGCCUGUCAGAAGAGCCCAACCCCACCUGGCUACAGCCUCCCUGCAGGCAGCUGCAGGCAGCAAUGAGCUCUGCCCUGAGCCAGGCUGGCCACCCCCAGCUCCCUCAGCCUCUCCUCACAGGGCUCUGCUCCAGGCCCCUCCCCAGCCUUGCUGCCCUUCUCCAAACACCUUCCAGCACCUCAAAAUCUCUCUGCAAUGGAGGAGCCCAGAACUGGACACAGCACUCCAGGGGUGGCCUGAGCAGUGCUGAGCACAGGGGCACAAGAACCUCCCUUGUCCUGCUGCCCACACUGCUCCUCAGCCAGCCCAGGAUGCCAUUGGCUCUGCUGCCCACCUGAGCACUGCUGCCUCAGCUUCAGCUCCUCUCUGCCAGCACCCCCAGGGCCCUCUCUGCCUGGCUGCUCUCAGCCACUCAGUCCCCAGCCUGUAGUGCUGCUUGGGGUUGUUGUGGCCAAAGUGCAGAACCCUGCCCUUGGCCUUGUCAAUCUCAUCCCCUUGGCCUCUGCCCACCCAUCCAGCCUGGCCAGGUCCCUCUGCACACCCUUAGAGCUGCUUUCCUUUGCCGCCUCUCCCAACUCUUAGCUACCUGAAGGAUCCAGCACGUAACAAACACAGGAUUCUUCUGUGGCUCUUUUGGGGGGUGGGGAAUCAGAUUAUUUUUUAAUUAAAACCUUCCAACCAAAUGAAGAAGGGAGCAAAUGAGACAGUUAGGAGUGAGGGAAAGGUCUGCAUCUGCAAUGGGGUGCAAUUAAAAAGCUGCUGCCUUGGUGUGGCGUCGCCUUCGGCCAAACCCUAUUUGCAUGAGUAAUUAUUCCCUGCCAUUUACCAAGUCUGCUCAACUUUGCCUUCCCUUGUCUUUGAAAGUAUUAAUAAAUAUUGAUCAGACACA